AGAGUUUGAUCAUGGCUCAGGACGAACGCUGGCGGCGUGCCUAAUACAUGCAAGUCGAGCGCGUGUAGCAAUACACGAGCGGCGGACGGGUGAGUAACGCGUGGGCAACCUGCCCCUCUAGCCUGGGAUAACAGCGCGAAAGUGCUGCUAACACCGGAUAUGCUCCCGAGGAGGCAUCUCCUAGGGAGGAAAGUUUACACUAGAGGAUGGGCCCGCGUCCCAUUAGCUAGUUGGUGAGGUAACGGCCCACCAAGGCGACGAUGGGUAGCCGACCUGAGAGGGUGAUCGGCCACACUGGGACUGAGACACGGCCCAGACUCCUACGGGAGGCAGCAGUAGGGAAUUUUCCGCAAUGGGCGAAAGCCUGACGGAGCAACGCCGCGUGAGGGAUGAAGGUCUUCGGAUCGUAAACCUCUGUCUUCAGGGACGAUAAUGACGGUACCUGAGGAGGAAGCCACGGCUAACUACGUGCCAGCAGCCGCGGUAAUACGUAGGUGGCGAGCGUUGUCCGGAAUUACUGGGCGUAAAGGGCGUGUAGGCGGCCUUUUAAGUCAGAUGUGAAAUCUCAGGGCUUAACCCUGAAACUGCAUUUGAAACUGGAGGGCUUGAGGAUCGGAGAGGGCAGUGGAAUUCCCAGUGUAGCGGUGAAAUGCGUAGAUAUUGGGAGGAACACCAGUGGCGAAGGCGACUGCCUGGACGACACCUGACGCUGAGGCGCGAAAGCUAGGGGAGCAAACGGGAUUAGAUACCCCGGUAGUCCUAGCCGUAAACGAUGGGUACUAGGUGUGGGAGGUAUCGACCCCUUCCGUGCCGCAGUUAACACAAUAAGUACCCCGCCUGGGGAGUACGGCCGCAAGGUUGAAACUCAAAUGAAUUGACGG
rnacentral:rRNA from 1 species